rnacentral:rRNA from 1 species
GAUGAUAGCUUGCUAUCAGGCGUCGAGCGGCGGACGGGUGAGUAAUACUUAGGAAUCUACCUAGUAGUGGGGGNUAGCACGGGGAAACUCGUAUUAAUACCGCAUACGACCUACGGGAGAAAGGGGGCAGUUUACUGCUCUCGCUAUUAGAUGAGCCUAAGUCGGAUUAGCUAGAUGGUGGGGUAAAGGCCUACCAUGGCGACGAUCUGUAGCUGGUCUGAGAGGAUGAUCAGCCACACCGGGACUGAGACACGGCCCGGACUCCUACGGGAGGCAGCAGUGGGGAAUAUUGGACAAUGGGGGAAACCCUGAUCCAGCCAUGCCGCGUGUGUGAAGAAGGCCUUUUGGUUGUAAAGCACUUUAAGCAGUGAAGAAGACUCCGUGGUUAAUACCCACGGACGAUGACAUUAGCUGCAGAAUAAGCACCGGCUAACUCUGUGCCAGCAGCCGCGGUAAUACAGAGGGUGCAAGCGUUAAUCGGAAUUACUGGGCGUAAAGGGAGCGUAGGUGGCUCGAUAAGUCAGAUGUGAAAUCCCCGGGCUCAACCUGGGAACUGCAUCUGAUACUGUUGAGCUAGAGUAUGUGAGAGGAAGGUAGAAUUCCAGGUGUAGCGGUGAAAUGCGUAGAGAUCUGGAGGAAUACCGAUGGCGAAGGCAGCCUUCUGGCAUAAUACUGACACUGAGGCUCGAAAGCGUGGGUAGCAAACAGGAUUAGAUACCCUGGUAGUCCACGCCGUAAACGAUGUCUACUAGUCGUUGGGUCCCUUGAGGACUUAGUGACGCAGCUAACGCAAUAAGUAGACCGCCUGGGGAGUACGGCCGCAAGGUUAAAACUCAAAUGAAUUGACGGGGGCCCGCACAAGCGGUGGAGCAUGUGGUUUAAUUCGAUGCAACGCGAAGAACCUUACCUGGUCUUGACAUAUCUAGAAUCCUGCAGAGAUGCGGGAGUGCCUUCGGGAAUUAGAAUACAGGUGCUGCAUGGCUGUCGUCAGCUCGUGUCGUGAGAUGUUGGGUUAAGUCCCGCAACGAGCGCAACCCUUGUCCUUAGUUACCAGCGGGUUAAGCCGGGAACUCUAAGGAUACUGCCAGUGACAAACUGGAGGAAGGCGGGGACGACGUCAAGUCAUCAUGGCCCUUACGACCAGGGCUACACACGUGCUACAAUGGUAGGUACAGAGGGCAGCUACACAGCGAUGUGAUGCGAAUCUCAAAAAGCCUAUCGUAGUCCAGAUUGGAGUCUGCAACUCGACUCCAUGAAGUAGGAAUCGCUAGU